GGGUUGUGAGGUUAAGCGACUAAGCGUACACGGUGGAUGCCUAGGCAGUCAGAGGCGAUGAAGGGCGUGCUAAUCUGCGAAAAGCGUCGGUAAGCUGAUAUGAAGCGUAAUAACCGACGAUACCCGAAUGGGGAAACCCAGUGCAAUUCGUUGCACUAUUGCAUGGUGAAUACAUAGCCAUGCAAGGCGAACCGGGGGAACUGAAACAUCUAAGUACCCCGAGGAAAAGAAAUCAACCGAGAUUCCCCCAGUAGCGGCGAGCGAACGGGGAAGAGCCCAGAGUCUGAAUCAGUUGGUGUGUUAGUGGAAGCGUCUGGAAAGUCGCACGGUACAGGGUGAUAGUCCCGUACACAAAAACACACUGGCUGUGAACUCGAUGAGUAGGGCGGGACACGUGACAUCCUGUCUGAAUAUGGGGGGACCAUCCUCCAAGGCUAAAUACUCCUGACUGACCGAUAGUGAACCAGUACCGUGAGGGAAAGGCGAAAAGAACCCCGGCGAGGGGAGUGAAAUAGAACCUGAAACCGUGUACGUACAAGCAGUGGGAGCACCUUCGUGGUGUGACUGCGUACCUUUUGUAUAAUGGGUCAGCGACUUAUAUUUUGUAGCAAGGUUAACCGAAUAGGGGAGCCGUAGGGAAACCGAGUCUUAACUGGGCGUCUAGUUGCAAGGUAUAGACCCGAAACCCGGUGAUCUAGCCAUGGGCAGGUUGAAGGUUGGGUAACACUAACUGGAGGACCGAACCGACUAAUGUUGAAAAAUUAGCGGAUGACUUGUGGCUGGGGGUGAAAGGCCAAUCAAACCGGGAGAUAGCUGGUUCUCCCCGAAAGCUAUUUAGGUAGCGCCUCGUGAACUCAUCUUCGGGGGUAGAGCACUGUUUCGGCUAGGGGUCCAUCCCGGAUUACCAAACCGAUGCAAACUCCGAAUACCGAAGAAUGUUAUCACGGGAGACACACGGCGGGUGCUAACGUCCGUCGUGAAGAGGGAAACAACCCAGACCGCCAGCUAAGGUCCCAAAGUCAUGGUUAAGUGGGAAACGAUGUGGGAAGGCAUAGACAGCCAGGAUGUUGGCUUAGAAGCAGCCAUCAUUUAAAGAAAGCGUAAUAGCUCACUGGUCGAGUCGGCCUGCGCGGAAGAUGUAACGGGGCUAAACCAUGCACCGAAGCUGCGGCAGCGACGCUUAGGCGUUGUUGGGUAGGGGAGCGUUCUGUAAGCCGUUGAAGGUGGCCUGUGAGGGCUGCUGGAGGUAUCAGAAGUGCGAAUGCUGACAUAAGUAACGAUAAUGCGGGUGAAAAACCCGCACGCCGGAAGACCAAGGGUUCCUGUCCAACGUUAAUCGGGGCAGGGUGAGUCGACCCCUAAGGCGAGGCUGAAAAGCGUAGUCGAUGGGAAACAGGUUAAUAUUCCUGUACUGGGUGUGACUGCGAAGGGGGGACGGAGAAGGCUAGGCUAGCCGGGCGACGGUUGUCCCGGUUUAAGCAUGUAGGCGGAGCGACUUGGUAAAUCCGGUUGCUUAUCAACGCUGAGGUGUGAUGACGAGCCACUACGGUGGUGAAGUAGUUGAUGCCAAGCUUCCAGGAAAAGCCUCUAAGCAUCAGGUGACAUUCAAUCGUACCCCAAACCGACACAGGUGGUCAGGUAGAGAAUACUCAGGCGCUUGAGAGAACUCGGGUGAAGGAACUAGGCAAAAUGGUGCCGUAACUUCGGGAGAAGGCACGCUGGCAUUAGGUAAAGAGACUUGCUCUCGGCGCCGAAGCCAGUCGCAGAUACCAGCUGGCUGCAACUGUUUAAUAAAAACACAGCACUGUGCAAACACGAAAGUGGACGUAUACGGUGUGACGCCUGCCCGGUGCUGGAAGGUUAAUUGAUGGGGUCAGCCGCAAGGCGAAGCUCUUGAUCGAAGCCCCAGUAAACGGCGGCCGUAACUAUAACGGUCCUAAGGUAGCGAAAUUCCUUGUCGGGUAAGUUCCGACCUGCA
rnacentral:rRNA from 1 species